rnacentral:lncRNA from 1 species
UUGAGGAUUUACAUUUUUAUUCUAUUUCUUGAUUCUUUGACUACAAAAGACAAAAUUCCAUUUGAAGACAGAUAUCCUCAGCAAGAAAGUAUGAGGAUCUAGUGAAGUCUCCAUUAGCAGCCAGCAUCCAAGGCUUAUCUACAGAAGGGCAUCCUUCUCAUCAUUUCACUUUGCUUUUUUCAGAACAAGAGAGAUAUCUACAAGCCAACAACAGAGAAUUCAAUGCAUUAUUUGGAUAUCCGAACAAUACCAUCAAGACCUCAAAAUAUAAUAUCUUUAACUUCCUGCCCAUGAACCUAUUUGAACAGUUCCAGAGACUUGCAAAUGCAUAUUUCCUCAUUUUACUAUUCCUACAGUUGAUUCCCCAGAUCUCCUCCUUGGCAUGGUACACAACUGUGAUACCCCUGAUGGUGGUGCUGUCCAUGACAGGAGUGAAAGAUGCCGUCGAUGACUUGGGUGAAGAAAGACAAAUGGAUGAACGUCCAAGUGGGAGAUAUAAUAAAACUAGAAAAUAAUCACCCUGUCACGGUGAGUGCUUCUUUUGGCUAUGGCUUUUUCUCUUUUGGCUUGAGUGGAUGCCAGGGAACCCUUUCAGCACUUCUUCUGCUCCCACUGCUUUUGUUGACCUUCAUUUGCCUCACUUUGCAGAUUCCGUAUAUUCUUAAUCCAUCUACAGGU